UACGUAGGGUGCAAGCGUUGUCCGGAAUUAUUGGGCGUAAAGAGCUCGUAGGCGGUUUGUCGCGUCUGCUGUGAAAACUCAGGGCUUAACCCUGAGCCUGCAGUGGGUACGGGCAGACUAGAGUGUGGUAGGGGAGAUCGGAAUUCCUGGUGUAGCGGUGGAAUGCGCAGAUAUCAGGAGGAACACCGGUGGCGAAGGCGGAUCUCUGGGCCAUAACUGACGCUGAGGAGCGAAAGCAUGGGGAGCGAACAGGAU
rnacentral:rRNA from 1 species